GUCUCUAAGAUUUAGCCAUGCAUGCUUAAUAUAUAAUGGCGAACGGCUCAGUAAUGUUGCGAUGAUUUGCUCUUGAUGGCAUAGAUAACCACGGUAAGCUGUGGCUAAUAGGCAAGAAUAAGACGCAACCCUAUCAGUUAGUUGGUAGUGUAAAGGACUACCAAGACGAUGACGGGUGACGGGAAAUGAGGGUUUGAUUCCGGAGAGGGAGCCUGAGAGAUGGCUCCCACGUCCAAGGACGGCAGCAGGCGCGAAAAUUGCCCACUCUUGGUGAGGAGGCAGUUAUGAGACGUAAUUUAAGCAGGCACAGUAAACAAGUGCUUAGUUCAUUGGAGGGCAAGUUUGGUGCCAGCAGCCGCGGUAAUACCGACUCCAAGAGUGUCUAUGGUGGAUGCUGCAGUUAAAAAGUCCGUAGUUUUAUGUAUGCAAUUAAAAAGCACUGGUAAAGGGUGUUUAGUUUGCUAAAGAUGGCGGAACGGGUAGAGUGCAUAGUAUAGAUAGGCGAGAGAUGAAAUACCAAGACCCUAUCUGGACUGACGGAGGCGAAAGCGAUGCACUUAAACGAGUCUGGGGAUCAAGGACGAAGGCUGGAGGAUCGAAAGUGAUUAGAUACCGCUGUAGUUCCAGCAGUAAACGAUGCCGACAAGCAGGACACGGGAGUGUUUGCUGGGAGAAAUCAUAGUUUUCGGGCUCUGGGGAUAGUACGCUCGCAAGGGUGAAACUUAAAUGAAAUU
rnacentral:rRNA from 1 species